GGAUUAGUGGCGAACGGGUGAGUAACACGUGAGCAACCUGCCCCUGACUCUGGGAUAAGCGCUGGAAACGGCGUCUAAUACUGGAUAUGUCCCAUCACCGCAUGGUGUGUGGGUGGAAAGAUUUUUCGGUUGGGGAUGGGCUCGCGGCCUAUCAGCUUGUUGGUGAGGUAAUGGCUCACCAAGGCGUCGACGGGUAGCCGGCCUGAGAGGGUGACCGGCCACACUGGGACUGAGACACGGCCCAGACUCCUACGGGAGGCAGCAGUGGGGAAUAUUGCACAAUGGGCGGAAGCCUGAUGCAGCAACGCCGCGUGAGGGAUGACGGCCUUCGGGUUGUAAACCUCUUUUAGCAGGGAAGAAGCGAAAGUGACGGUACCUGCAGAAAAAGCACCGGCUAACUACGUGCCAGCAGCCGCGGUAAUACGUAGGGUGCAAGCGUUAUCCGGAAUUAUUGGGCGUAAAGAGCUCGUAGGCGGUCUGUCGCGUCUGCUGUGAAAUUCCGAGGCUCAACCUCGGGCUUGCAGUGGGUACGGGCAGACUAGAGUGCGGUAGGGGAGAUUGGAAUUCCUGGUGUAGCGGUGGAAUGCGCAGAUAUCAGGAGGAACACCAAUGGCGAAGGCAGAUCUCUGGGCCGUAACUGACGCUGAGGAGCGAAAGGGUGGGGAGCAAACAGGCUUAGAUACCCUGGUAGUCCACCCCGUAAACGUUGGGAACUAGUUGUGGGGUCCUUUCCACGGAUUCCGUGACGCAGCUAACGCAUUAAGUUCCCCGCCUGGGGAGUACGGCCGCAAGGCUAAAACUCAAAGGAAUUGACGGGGACCCGCACAAGCGGCGGAGCAUGCGGAUUAAUUCGAUGCAACGCGAAGAACCUUACCAAGGCUUGACAUACACGAGAACGGGCCAGAAAUGGUCAACUCUUUGGACACUCGUGAACAGGUGGUGCAUGGUUGUCGUCAGCUCGUGUCGUGAGAUGUUGGGUUAAGUCCCGCAACGAGCGCAACCCUCGUUCUAUGUUGCCAGCACGUAAUGGUGGGAACUCAUGGGAUACUGCCGGGGUCAACUCGGAGGAAGGUGGGGAUGACGUCAAAUCAUCAUGCCCCUUAUGUCUUGGGCUUCACGCAUGCUACAAUGGCCGGUACAAUGGGCUGCAAUACCGUAAGGUGGAGCGAAUCCCAAAAAGCCGGUCCCAGUUCGGAUUGAGGUCUGCAACUCGACCUCAUGAAGUCGGAGUC
rnacentral:rRNA from 1 species